ensembl:lncRNA
UUUUUUAUUUUUUGUAGAGAUGGGGUCUCACCAUGUUGCUCAGGCUGGUCUCGAACUCCUGGGCUCAAGCAAUCCUCUGGCCUUGGCCUCCCAAACCACUGGGAUUACAGGUGUGAGCCACUGUGUCUGAGCUCGUGUCAUCAUUUCCGAUCUCCUGUAAUGGUUACUAUGCUGCCAACCACCAGAACUAUAAUUUCAGACAAUGACCCGAACUUGGAAUAUAAAUUCUUGUUAAUAUCUUUUGGGGGUUUUUAUCUUAUGCCCUUGUUACAAAAUGAAAUGUACAACUCCUUGGUCAAUCAUUGAAAGUUUAAAUUCUCCCCUGAUGUCUUUGUCAUUUGGUAACAUUGGUAAUCUUGCAGCAUCAGAUCACACUGUACCAUAGUUAUCAAUGCACUGUAACUUCGAAUAAUCAAGUUGUUGCAAGCAGUUACUCAUGUUAACAAUCUAGCUACCAGCUUAUUUGUUGGCACAACCUCAGCAAGCCCCAAACGAGAUUUUUGUGAUUCUUUUUUAUUUCAUCCCAACUUCAUCUUGCAGACUUAAUGUCCUACAUAUUUCUGAACUUGUCUCUUCACUAUCCUUAUAACCAAUGCCCUCAUAUAUCUUUUCUAUUUCAGGGGUCUGUUAAGUGCCUCUUGGUCUUAACUUUCUCAAAUCCAUCCUAAAAUAGAAAAUGAUUCCUUCCUGGCUUAGAAUCCUUCAACUGCUACCAAUUUCAGCUUCUGACAUCAUGAUCCCAUCCUCUCCGAAGUCACCCCAAGUAGUCACACUAAACUUCGGAUUCCUUAAACUAAAAAUUUUAUUUAUGUCUUGGCCCUCUGUUGUUUCUAUGUCUGAAAUCCCUUUACACACAUUGCAGGCCUGGAUAACCCGAACUUCCCUAACAUUUCCCCCACGCAGAGGCAAGUUGAUCCUCCUAUCUCUGCCCUAAAUCGUGUCAUUAUUUGCUUACAUCUGUUUCCCCUAAGAGACGCUGAAGUCUUUGAUGGCAAAGCUGUGGCUCAUUUCCCACUCCUUUUUUUUUUUUUUUUUAAAUCACUUGUUACUGCUUGCUGAGUUAACAGAUGUAAGGAGUUAACUUACUGAUGCACUAGCUCAAACAUGUUUAGAUUGUUACCUCACAGAUAUAUAUUUUUUUGAGACAGAGUCUCACUCUGUUGCCCGGGCUGGAGUGCAGGCAGUGAGUCCUGCCCCAGAGUCUGACCUGAACCACAUUUAACCUCUAUGUGGUGUGUGGGUUAUUGCCAUGAGUAAGAAUCAGAACGUUAACGCGCACUCCAGGAAGGCAGGGACACCAUUUAGGGUCACCGCUGUACUUUAGGGGCCAGAGCAGGGCAGGCUGGAUGCGCUGAGGAAACUCAUACAGUUAGGUCAGAAGCCUGGCAAGACAAGGGAAUUCUCUGGUCCUCGUCCACCUCUCCAACCUCACGUCUACUAGUCUUCCAAGAGGAUUCUAACUACACAUGGCUCCCGAGUUUCCGGCUUCUCUUCUCAGGGAGGGUCUGCGGCCCUUUGCACCGCCUUCUCCCCGCAAUCCCGUUUUCCUGUCCAUGCCUGGACGGAUCCGGCCCAGCCGUCAGCCGCAGCUGCGCGCUGCUCCCCCGACUCGCACCCCCUCGGCGAAGCGCUGCAUUUUAUGUAAUUUUCUACCAGGCUGCCGGCUUCUGGGGGCUGCGGCUGGGUCUCGGCGGCCUUCAGCGCCGCAGACGCUCCGGCAACGCCGGUAUCCGAGGCCCCGCCCUAGGCUCGCGGGUCCGGGCGGCGUUCCCCGUGCGGGAGGCGCGGCGAGCCAAUCCUCACUUUCAAAGCUUUCGCGUCCUGGAAGUCUAUCGUGGGGGGGCAAAACGCGCUGGCCCCAGACGACCGGUUCGUGA